rnacentral:rRNA from 1 species
UUUUAGUUAGAGUUUGAUCCUAGCUCAGGAUGAACGCUGGCGGCGUGGAUAAGGCAUGCAAGUCGAACGGAAAUUUUAUCGUCGAAAAUGAGAUUAUAUCAAGUUGGAGAUAUCAAAAUUUUAGUGGCGAACGAGGUAGUAAUACAUAGGAACUUCCCCUCUAGUCGUGAAUAAUCCGUCGAAAGACGGACUAAUACACGAUGGUCCCUGAGAUGAAAGUCGAAUGGGUAAAGUUUUAACGCUAGAGGAAAGGCCUGUGCGAUAUCAGCUAGUUGGUAAGGUAAUGGCUUACCAAGGCUAUGACGUCUAGGGGAGGUGAGAGCCUGACCCCCACCGAUGGUACUGAG